rnacentral:lncRNA from 13 species
UGACUUAGUCAUCCCUUGUAUGUAAGCUUUUCCAUACAACCUCAUUGUCUCUCUCUGAACCUUUUCCAGCUCUCCUAUGUCCUCUCUUGAGAUGGGAAGGCCGGAGCAGCAGUCAGUCUCCAACAUGUGAACAAACUGUGGAUUUCUACAACAGACUGCAGAUAGUCUGUGCUUUCUGCUUGGUUCAUCUCCUAGGAAGUCCUAACAUUUUCAACCACUGCAGGCUGCCAUUCUCUGAAGUAAAACUUCCAGAAGAAACAUACGCUAACGGAUCAACUUUGAAAGCUGUAGGUUGUUGA